rnacentral:lncRNA from 1 species
GUUUCUGUGUUAAUCACCAUCUAUACUGCAAAUAGAAACUUCUCUGAUGAGAGUUGAGAGAUGCUUUAAUGUAUAGGUAUGACAAUAUGUCAUUAGGAGUCAGUUUAAUACUUUGUCCAUUUAACAGAAUAAAAGGGAUAGGUUCGGGGCUGGCGAGAUGGCUCAGUGGUUAAGAGCGCCGACUGCUCUUCUGAAGGUCCCGAGUUCAAAUCCCAGCAACCACAUGGUGGCUCACAACCAUCCAUAAUGAAUUCUGAUGCCCUCUUCUGGAGUGUCUGAAGACAGCUACAGUGUACUUACAUAUAAUAAAUAAAUAAAUCUUAAAAAAAAAAAAAAAAAAAAGGGAUAGGUUCUCCCCUAAGGCCUGUGAGCCACAGGUUCUUAGCCCCAAAAUGGUGCCAGGUAUAGGUUUCAUCUGAUGGAGUGGGACUUAAGCCAAUUAGAAAGUGGUUGGUUAGUCCCACAAUGUUUAUGUCACUAUUGUACCAGUGGACAUGUCUUGCCAGAACUAUUGGUAUUGUAGUUUGUAAGGUUUACAACUGCUGAGAUUGAUAAUGACUUCCAUAGUGUACAUAGCACCUUCUGGAAUUACAAAAGCUAGCCAGUAGUGAUGAAACUUCCAGGUCAGUAUCAGUGUAUUAUCUCCAUGUUCUGUGACACAAAUGCAUAGCAUCAGCUGCAGUGGGUUUUAACAUCAAGUUCUGGAGGGUAACCAAUAGCAUUGGCAGUAGCCUGCAGUGUUUAGGGGCUUAUGGGACCUUUCUUGCCUACACCUCCAAAAGAGGAGUUCAUUCCUAGCACUGGGCUCGUUGUUACUUUGUUGUGUCUAGUAGGGGUAUUGUUCUGUUUAGGGUAACUCAGUUUUAACUCUGUCUGUCUGUCUGUCUGUCUGUCUGUCUGUCUCUCUCUCUCUCUCUCUCUCUCUCUCGGUCUCCGUCUCUCUUUCUCUGUCUCUGUGUGUCUCUCUCUCUCUGUGUUUCUGUGUGUAAGCUUGCACAGUAAUAGACUUCCAUAUCACUUUUUGGAAAGGUUAUCACUCUCCAUUUUCACUCUUAUCCCUUUACCCCUUCAGUUUAACCCUUCUUGUUCUGUUGCUCUCUCUUAAACUUUAUACAACUGUUCUCAAGGCUUUCAAGGAUUGUAUAUCUGAUGGGAGUGGUAGUUCCUUUUUUGUAAGAGUGUUUUUUUUUUUUUUUUUUAGACUUAGGACACAUUUCUUUUCUCAGUUAAAAACCCUAAAAUGAUUAAGAACAAUGCAUGGCAUACUGGAGCCUAUGCCUGUGCUGUUUGUAUAGGUUGUGAAAGCUUAUUAGAAUAGCACUUAACACAAAACAUUUCUUGGGUACUUUAGUUUCACAUUCUCCAGGAUAACCUGCUUUUGUAUUUUUAGGUAUCAGACUUUUUAAAUCCUGAAAAUACUUUAUUAUUAUUUGUUUAAGGAUGAGUCUAUGGUAUUUUAUCUAUUUUAAGAAUAAUUUACUUUUUAUUUCAUAUUUAUUGGUAUUUUACCUGCAUGUAUGUCUAUAUGGGGAUGGCAGAAGCCCUGUAACCAGAGUUAGAGACAUUUGUGAAUUGUAAUGUGGGUGCUGGGAAUUGAAUACAGGUCUUCUGGAAGAGCAGCCAGUGCUCUUAACUCCUUAACCAUCUCUCCAGCUCCUCAAGGUUUUAUAAGAGUAAACAAAAAAAUUUUUAGAUUUAUUUUACUUUAUAUGUAUGAGUGUUUUGCUUCCAUGAAUGUAUAUGCACACAUGUGUGUCUAGUGCUUGUGGAGGCUGGGAGAAGGCAUUGGAUCUAUUGGGACUGGAGUUUUAGAUGGCUGUGAAUCUCCAUGUGGGUGUUAGAAAUUGAACCCAGGCCCUCUGUAAGAGAGCAACAAGUGCUCUAAACUGCUGAGCAUUUGGUCAACCCUCUUGGAGGAUUUUAAAAACAAUUGAAAAUGUAUAAUUUUGAUUUUUUUUUUUAUAGACUUAUUUUUGGAGACAGGUCCCAUGGAGCGAAGGCUGGCACACAGUUGCGUGUGGGGCUGAGGAUGGCCUUGAGUUUCUGACCCUUCUAGCAGAGGUCUGUUACCCAAAGCAAAGGGGACUUCUGAACUGAAAUGUCCAGUUUCAGUAAUAAGCAAUCUUUAUCUGAAACUUAGAUGGUACUUAUGUAUGUAGCUAAAGAUGGGCUAUGGUAAAACAAAACAAAACAAAACAACUCCGUUUCCUAGAAAAUGGUACAUGAAUUCACAUUAAAUCUCAUGAUUUUUUUACAGGGAUUGUGUGAACCCUGACCAGUUUUGUUAACUGAUCUAGAAAUUCAUGCUAUGAUUUCUUAUGACAUCUUCAUGGUAGAGUUUUUUUUUUUUUUUUUUUUUUUUUGAGACAGGGUUUCUCUGCAUGGUAGAGGUUUUGAAAGUGUAUUGUACUACAGCACAAAAUUAUUUUUGUUUGAUUUGGUUUAUCAAGUCAUCAAUUUGACUUUUUUUCUUUUCAGUGCUGGGGGUGGACCCUAGGGUGGCCCAGGUGUUAAGUAACUGCUUACUAGUGAACUGUACAUCAGUCUUUUCCUGUGACCUUUUGUGUAGGACAGC